GCCUGGGUGGCUCAGUCGGUUAAGCGGCUGACUUCCGCUCAGGUCAUGAUCUCACCGUCCGUGGGUUUGAGCCCCGCGUCGGGCU
rnacentral:tRNA from 1 species